rnacentral:rRNA from 1 species
UACGAAGGGGGCUAGCGUUGCUCGGAAUCACUGGGCGUAAAGGGUGCGUAGGCGGGUCUUUUAAGUCAGGGGUGAAUCCUGGAGCUCAACUCCAGAACUGCCUUUGAUACUGAGGAUCUUGAGUUCGGGAGAGGUGAGUGGAACUGCGAGUGUAGAGGUGAAAUUCGUAGAUAUUCGCAAGAACACCAGUGGCGAAGGCGGCUCACUGGCCCGAUACUGACGCUGAGGCACGAAAGCGUGGGGAGCAAACAGG